UACGUAGGUCCCGAGCGUUGUCCGGAUUUAUUGGGUUUAAAGGGUACGUAGGCGGAAUAUCAAGUCAGCGGUAAAAAUUCGGGGCUCAACCCCGUCGUGCCGUUGAAACUGAUGUUCUUGAGUGGGCGAGAAGUAAGCGGAAUGCGUGGUGUAGCGGUGAAAUGCAUAGAUAUCACGCAGAACUCCGAUUGCGAAGGCAGCAUACCGGCGCCCAACUGACGCUGAAGCACGAAAGCGUGGGUAUCGAACAGG
rnacentral:rRNA from 1 species